UCGCCUGUUUAUCAAAAACAUCGCCGAUAACUCUUUAUUAUCGGUAAUAUCUGCCCAGUGAUUUAUUCAACGGCCGCAGUAUCCUGACUGUGCUAAGGUAGCAUAAUCAUUAGUUUUUUAAUUGAAAACUCGUAUGAAUGAUUCGACGAGAAAUUCCCUGUCUCUAAAGUACCCCAACUUGCUUGAAAAGUCAAAAAGCUUUUCCCCCCCAAAAGGACGACAAGACCCUAUAAAACUUUACCUUAAUCACAAGCCUGCUUUUAGAAACUUGCCAAAUUUUGAAAAAGGUUUUACUGGGGCGGUAUCUUUUAAUAUAAACAAAUUGCACACUAACAUAAUGAAUGAAGUUGAUAAACACUUGACGUAAAAAAUAACAAGUUACUUUAGGGAUAACAGCGCAAUAUCUUUUUAGAGCCCUCAUCGGCAAAGAUGUUUACGACCUCGAUGUUGAAUUGAAGAACCUGCACGGAGCAACCCUCGUGCGAGGAAGUCUGUUCGACUUUUGAUCCUUCACAUGAUCUGAGUUCAAACCGGA
rnacentral:rRNA from 1 species